rnacentral:rRNA from 1 species
UACGGGGGGGGCAAGCGUUGUUCGGAAUUAUUGGGCGUAAAGGGCGCGUAGGCGGUCGUGCAAGUGGAAGGUGAAAUCCCUCGGCUCAACCGAGGAACUGCCUUUCAAACUGCAUGACUUGAGUCCGGGAGAGGUGAGUGGAAUUCCCAGUGUAGCGGUGAAAUGCGUAGAUAUUGGGAGGAACACCAGUGGCGAAGGCGGCUCACUGGACCGGAACUGACGCUGAGGCGCGAAAGCGUGGGGAGCAAACGGG